rnacentral:rRNA from 1 species
GUGUCAGCCGCCGCGGUAAUACGGAAGGUGCGAGCGUUAAUCGGAAUAACUGGGCGUAAGGCGCGCGUAGGUGGUUGAGUCAGUCAGAUGUGAAAGCCCCGGGCUUAACCUGGGAACUGCACCUGAUACUGCUUAACUAGAGUACGGUAGAGGGCAGUGGAAUUUCCUGUGUAGCGGUGAAAUGCGUAGAUAUAGGAAGGAACACCAGUGGCGAAGGCGACUGCCUGGACUGAUACUGACACUGAGGUGCGAAAGCGUGGGUAGCAAACAGGAUUAGAAACCCUCGUAGUCC